UGCAGUCGACGGUGAAGAGGAGCUUGCUCCUUGGAUCAGUGGCGAACGGGUGAGUAACACGUGAGCAAUCUGCCCUUGACUCUGGGAUAACUGCGGGAAACUGUAGCUAAUACCGGAUAUUACCUUGGAAGGCAUCUUCUGGGGUGGAAAGAAUUUUGGUCAAGGAUGAGCUCGCGGCCUAUCAGCUAGUUGGUGAGGUAAUGGCUCACCAAGGCGACGACGGGUAGCCGGCCUGAGAGGGUGACCGGCCACACUGGGACUGAGACACGGCCCAGACUCCUACGGGAGGCAGCAGUGGGGAAUAUUGCACAAUGGGCGCAAGUCUGAUGCAGCAACGCCGCGUGAGGGACGACGGCCUUCGGGUUGUAAACCUCUUUUAGUAGGGAAGAAGCGACUGGGUUUUCCUGGGAGUGACGGUACCUGCAGAAAAAGCACCGGCUAACUACGUGCCAGCAGCCGCGGUAAUACGUAGGGUGCAAGCGUUGUCCGGAAUUAUUGGGCGUAAAGAGCUCGUAGGCGGUUUGUCGCGUCUGCUGUGAAAACCCGAGGCUCAACCUCGGGCCUGCAGUGGGUACGGGCAGACUAGAGUGCGGUAGGGGAGAUUGGAAUUCCUGGUGUAGCGGUGGAAUGCGCAGAUAUCAGGAGGAACACCAAUGGCGAAGGCAGAUCUCUGGGCCGUAACUGACGCUGAGGAGCGAAAGCAUGGGGA
rnacentral:rRNA from 1 species